rnacentral:rRNA from 1 species
UGAGGAAUAUUGGUCAAUGGACGAGAGUCUGAACCAGCCAAGUAGCGUGAAGGAUGACUGCCCUAUGGGUUGUAAACUUCUUUUAUACGGGAAUAAAGUGAGGUACGUGUGCCUUUUUGUAUGUACCGUAUGGAUAAGGAUCGGCUAACUCCGUGCCAGCAGCCGCGGUAAUACGGAGGAUCCGAGCGUUAUCCGGAUUUAUUGGGUUUAAAGGGAGCGUAGGCGGACGCUUAAGUCAGUUGUGAAAGUUUGCGGCUCAACCGUAAAAUUGCAGUUGAUACUGGGUGUCUUGAGUACAGUAGAGGCAGGCGGAAUUCGUGGUGUAGCGGUGAAAUGCUUAGAUAUCACGAAGAACUCCGAUUGCGAAGGCAGCCUGCUGGACUGUAACUGACGCUGAUGCUCGAAAGUGUGGGUAUCAAACAGGAUUAGAUACCCUGGUAGUCCACACAGUAAACGAUGAAUACUCGCUGUUUGCGAUAUACAGUAAGCGGCCAAGCGAAAGCGUUAAGUAUUCCACCUGGGGAGUACGCCGGCAACGGUGAAACUCAAAGGAAUUGACGGGGGCCCGCACAAGCGGAGGAACAUGUGGUUUAAUUCGAUGAUACGCGAGGAACCUUACCCGGGCUUGAAUUGCAACUGAAUGAUGUGGAGACAUGUCAGCCGCAAGGCAGUUGUGAAGGUGCUGCAUGGUUGUCGUCAGCUCGUGCCGUGAGGUGUCGGCUUAAGUGCCAUAACGAGCGCAACCCUUAUCGAUAGUUACCAUCAGGUUAUGCUGGGGACUCUGUCGAGACUGCCGUCGUAAGAUGUGAGGAAGGUGGGGAUGACGUCAAAUCAGCACGGCCCUUACGUCCGGGGCUACACACGUGUUACAAUGGGGGGUACAGAAGGCAGCUACACGGCGACGUGAUGCUAAUCCCGAAAGCCUCUCUCAGUUCGGAUUGGAGUCUGCAACCCGACUCCAUGAAGCUGGAUUCGCUAGUAAUCGCGCAUCAGCCACGGCGCGGUGAAUACGUUCCC